UGUAACUUCUGCACUUAGGAAGGCUGACCGAGCUCUCCCAGGUAGUUUCUGUCAGGACUAUAGCAGAUUCACCCCAUGCCUUAGCUGGGACUACCUGAGCUGAAAGAGGAUAGAAGAUGAUGGAGGAAUAACAUGGGCCAUGGUGAAGAAGCCACAUUCUUCUGAAAGAGAAGUGGGGAAGGGACAAUUGUUGGCUGUUCAGGAAGUAAGGCCCCUCAAAAGGAGGCUGACUGGGUCUGCCCAAAAGUAGCUGAGCUGGUUGAAUCCAUGGAUGUGGAAUGCAUGAAUAUAGAGGGCCAACUGUAUAUAUAUUUUGAGGAUAAAAACCACUGGGGCGGGGCCGGAGGCAGAGAGCCGCUGGAACCCCAUGUGCUAGAAUGCCCCCAGGCCCACAGUGCCACUGCCUGUUUCCGGCCACGCUGCUGCGUGAUCCUGAUUGGGGUAUAAAAGCAGGAGCAGACUGGGCGGAAGGGUCAGAAGAUCGGAAGACGCAAAGAGAGCUGUGACACUAGGUGUGCUGAGCCUGCUGUAGAAGAAUAAAGGCUGU